GCCAGUGUAGUUAAGUGGUUCGAGUGUUGGAUAAGGACUCCAGGAGAGCAGGGUUCAAAUCCCUGCCCAGCCA